CCUACGGGCGGCAGCAGUGAGGAAUAUUGGUCAAUGGACGAGAGUCUGAACCAGCCAAGUAGCGUGAAGGAUGACUGCCCUAUGGGUUGUAAACUUCUUUUAUAUGGGAAUAAAAUGUUCCACGUGUGUGAUUUUGUAUGUACCAUAUGAAUAAGGAUCGGCUAACUCCGUGCCAGCAGCCGCGGUAAUACGGAGGAUCCGAGCGUUAUCCGGAUUUAUUGGGUUUAAAGGGAGCGUAGGUGGAUUGUUAAGUCAGUUGUGAAAGUUUGCGGCUCAAACGUAAAAUUGCAGUUGAAACUGGCAGUCUUGAGUACAGUAGAGGUGGGCGGAAUGCGUGGUGUAGCGGUGAAAUGCUUAGAUAUCACGAAGAACUCCGAUUGCGAAGGCAGUUCACUGGACUGCAACUGACACUGAGGCUCGAAAGUGUGGGUAUCAAACAGGAUUAGAUACCCGGGUAGUC
rnacentral:rRNA from 1 species